UUCUUCCUUGUCUUGGGGAGCAUAAUAUCCAAUGAACGUUUAGUGAGGAUAUUGAUGCUGGCACCCACAUGAAUGUGCGAAUUUUAUUUGCAAUCCCCCCGCUCGGGUAGCCGCUUUCGAACAGUGCGCUAUCUGGGCGGAAUUUUUGGAACG